rnacentral:lncRNA from 1 species
UGUUUAUCAACCUACCUGGUCUGUUGGAAAGACAUCACCCCAACCCUCCACCACCAAUAAGUAGGAGCAGAGAAUGAAGAGGAUGGAGAAUCUCAAAAGGGAUCUCAAGAAGAUCAAAAAAGAGAGAGAUUAAUUCCAGGGAACCCUGGCCAAUUACACUAACAAGGAUUUAAAUGACAGUUCAUGGGAUUAUUUGCUCCUUGGGCCAUUCCCUCCCACAGGAUCAACUUUGAGACUUUCAUAAUCAAGAUGCAACAUGAUCAGGUGAUGACUGACCUGAAUAGAGUGCCCCAGGACAUCAGUGAGGCCUUGUACAAAUGUAAGGAGCUGACUAAAGAAAAUCAAUUCUACUAACCAGGGACAUACAAGCCCACAAUGGACCCAGGUCCUCUUCUGACAGAUAUGUAAGUCCCUAUUGGUGUCAGGGUUUUCAGAAGUGCCUUGCCUUCUGAAAUAUGGCUGUCCUCUGAAUUUGAACUGCAUCUAUGUGAUGCUCCAUGGCCAAUCUGGACAGUUGUCUGGGGCUGUCUUGCAACUAUGGCCCAUUGUGAGGUGGAUGGACCUUGCAGGAGUGGGAGGAAGAUGGAUGUUGAUUUGAUUCAUUAUAAUUUGUUUGUGAGUCAGCAU